AUGCGCCGGGUGGUGGUGGUGACCCAUGCCGUUGUAAGAGUUUACCAUCCCGGGGAGGGCCAUGCUCUGCACCCGAGAGUAGGGGUUAUAGGACGAGGGGGCCGUCAGGCCCUUGACGUUGACUGGACUCACGUUGCCGCUCGCCAUCUGGCAGGACGUGUAGGACAUCGGCGUGGGCGGCUGGCCCAACGACCAGGAGUUGUUCAUGAAGCUGGACUGCAGAUACUUGGGCGGGGACAGGUACCCGUAGCCGUCUCCUGCGAACAAGGCUUUUCCCGGCUGGAAGUGCGUGGGCGGCGGUCGGAAAGGCCGCUUCAUCCUGCGGCGUCUCCUGUAGUUCCCUUUCUCGAACAUGUCCUCGCAGGCCGGGUCGAGUGUCCAGUAAUUCCCCUUCCGCUCCCCGCCGCCCUCCCGCGGAACCUUGAUGAAGCACUCGUUGAGGCUCAGGUUGUGCCUGAUGCUGUUCUGCCAGCCUUUCUUGUUCUUCUCAUAGAAAGGGAACUUGCUGAUGAUGUACUGGUAGAUGCCAGACAGCGUGAGGCGCUUCUCGGAGCUCUCCCGAAUGGCCAUGGCGAUGAGGGCGACGUACGAGUAGGGGGGCUUCUGGGACGGAUCCGGCUUCUCGGAGACCUUCUCCUGCACCGGCUCCUCUUUCGGUCGCUCCUUGUCUUUGCUCGUGUUGGUGUCGUGGAUCAUCAGCGCCAUCGGGUCGUCCUCCGGGCUUUGGCCUCUGCCAUACCUUUCACGCACGCGCGCAGCGUGUCUGCGGGUUGUGGGAGGCCUGAGCCGUCAUCCUAACAGACAAUAAUACAAUCGGAACGAGUGGAAUUCCCGCACUCACGCACUUCCUGAUCCCGCAGGUCGGAGACUAGGAUGUUUAUCAUUGCGCGCGCGCGCGGAAUGCGCCAGCGGAACCGCUGGGUCAGGCCGCAGGCCGGGACCGGAGAACAGCCAGUCAGGCGCUCGCAGGUGUCGGAUGGCCUCUGGGACAAGCAGGACCAAAUAGAAAACUGACGUUUUUACUUCAUGUUUAUCUCCCUUUACUUGUAUAUUUCUGAAUUCAUUUUUAAAUACCAGGACGCCAGCGAUAGAAAGACAAAUAAAUGAGCAUGUAUAGAAAGAGAAAAGACACAUUUUUCGUUUGAAAUGACACAUUAAGACUCUCAUUCAUCCAGGUAGAUUCCAUCAUAGUUGUAGGUUUAAAGGCUGUCAUCUGGACUUGGUUACUUAGAGUUGGAGACGUUUCACCUCUUAUCCAAAAGGCUUUGUCAAUUCUGAAAUAGCUCUUUUACCAGCUACAACCUUUAAACUUACUAUCAUUUCUGACACAACAAGGUUGCAGUUCAGCUGUGGGCCUGUUUGAUAUGUAAUUAUACACACAGAAUUGAUCAAAAUACAAUUUCCUCAAAAUUAAUAAACAAAA
rnacentral:lncRNA from 1 species